CAGUAGCCACGGUAAUACGAAGGGUACAAGCGUUACUCGGAAUUACUGGGCGUAAAGCGUGCGUAGGUGGUGGUUUAAGUCCGUUGUGAAAGCCCUGGGCUCAACCUGGGAAUUGCAGUGGAUACUGGGUCACUAGAGUGUGGUAGAGGAUAGUGGAAUUUCCGGUGUAGCAGUGAAAUGCGUAGAGAUCGGAAGGAACAUCUGUGGCGAAGGCGACUAUCUGGGCCAACACUGACACUGAGGCACGAAAGCGUGGGGAGCAAACAGGAUUAGAUACCCGGGUAGUCCCUGUCUCUUAUAC
rnacentral:rRNA from 1 species